AAUGCCCAAUCCUAAUACAACCCGUACUUUGAUUUGACAACAGGAAAUGAUCCAGUUGGAAAUGGAAAAAUUAUAGGAGGCUCAAGUGUCUGUGACUCUGUGUUUCCAUUCUAAUCGGGAAGUCCCUCUUGUAGCAAACAGCAGGGAUUAUAUAAAGAUCAAUACAGACAAACAAACCCGUAUUUGCACGUAUGGUUUAAUCAUAGUAAGAGAGAGAGAGAUGCAUAGCUCGUUCACCAUAACACGAUACAGACAAGAAAAACCCUAGAAUUUUACUUCAAAGUUCAAACACUCUCUUAUAUCUUAUACAUGUGUGCAAGAGUGGAGAGACGCAUUUUGAUGUUCUUCUGUACUGAAAAGUUCCACUUUAGCAACUAUCUUACAUUUAUCCCUACUGCAAAUGUGACCAUUCAGAGAUGAGUUCUUUGACUGCAACAUUGUCCCCGAGCUCGUUCCAGCUUCGAUUAGCUUUCAAUUGUAAAAAAUCGUCAACCGUGUUGGUAGGAUGCGUGUUGGGAAGAAGGAUUGCAAUAGACUGCAUUUACUUUCUAUUGGAGGGCAUACUCACGCGAGAAACCGUAAUUGGCUGGAAAGGUGCAGUGUUUGGUUAAUUCGAUUUCUCCAGUGGAUGGAUUCGCUGGAUGGUCUGGAACUGAUGGAGCUGAAACAUCAAGUGAGGCUCCGCAGAAACAAUCUGUCCCAGAUAAUUGCAUCACUUCGACAUGACGCAACAUGACGCAAGUGCUUAUUAAAUUAGAGGGGGUUUGUGGGAGCAGGAGUACUUAGCAUUAUCCUAGUGGCUGGGAUUAUCUUUGCUGCUUUAUCAAUAAGCAAACGUAGCACGUCCAGAUUGAAGCAGCAUAUGGACCCUUUAACAACCCAACAAGAAAUGUCAGUCAUUGGUGAUAAUAAUCACAAUGAUAGAGUUGAAUCAGAAAAAGAUGCCCUCAAGAAUGAAAUGCAAGAUACUGACAAUCCAAACAGCAAGGCAGGUACAGACAAUUAUCCCUUUUUACAUCCAACAAAGUGUGAAGAUGUUGGAAAUAAACUUAAUAACAGUAGCAAUGCGAGGUACACAUUCAGUAAUAAUUACACAAUUAGCAAUGUCUCCACUAAACAUGGUUUUCAUAAUGAAACAGUGAAUGAUAACACUUUAUUUGCAACUGAAGCCAUAUUUCAAUCACUUGAUGCUGGAGUUUCGGCAAAAUCUUUCACUCACUAAACCUUUGAUAGUAAAGAAGUCAGUUUUGCUGCUGAAAAAUCAUUAUUAAUAAAUGAACAAUAUGGGGAGAACUUUGAUGACACCAAUACAACUUGUGUACCAGCUCCUAGCCCCAGUUCAACAAAUCAAAGCAUGGAUCACAGGGAAGGACUGUCUGAUUUAGGAGAAACAAGAGACUCUGUCUCUUCAUUUGAUUCACCAACUGCUGAAUCUGUAACCUUUAAUCUCUCAGUAAAUGCAUAGUCUGACACUACUUUAGAACCUAUUAUUACAAGUGAUCAGUAUUUAGAGGCUAAAAGCUUAGUUUCUACUGAGAAUGUUGAUACGAGCAAUAUGCUAGAGUUUCCAGCUGAAGGAGACGAGUUAUUUCUAGAAGUCCAUAGUGCAAACAGAGAUGAAUUAUCAAGAACAGUGUUGGAGGUCACUGGUGUGGAUCUUUCUGUUAAGAAACAAAAUGAAAAUGUUCAUAAGGAUAUCAAUGGAAGCAGAUCAAGCUAUGAGUCAGUAAAUUCUGAAGCUAUCUUUAUCUCUGCCGGCAUACCUGCUCCAUCUUCUGUCCCUUCAGCUCUGCAGUCACUUCCAGUAAAGGUGCUAGUUCCUGCUGUCAUUGAUCAAGUCCAGGGUCAGGCACUAGCUGCGUUGCAAGUUUUGAAGGUACUUUUGUUUUCAUUUAUUUAAACUUUGCAAAAAUGUUGGUUAGUUUUGAGCUCAAUCUAAUCUCAUUCUGCUGAGAAUAUCUGGAUUGAAAUGGAUGCACACAAAGUUAAAAUAAAUUUUGUUAUCCCUGCGACCCUGGCUUUUCCACCAUUAAUUAUUUAUAGGUAUCAAGAUUGUCACUAGUCUAGUUAAAGAAGCCUAAUUGCUAACUAAGGUACAUA